GUGUGACAUCACAGGGUGGGAAACUUAGAGCUUAAGGGUUUAGAAUAGAGCAAUAUCUAUAGAGCAAGAUGGAGGUUGUAGAGCAGAGGCUUCUUCUUCUUCUUCUUCUUCUUCUUCUUCUUCUUCUUCUUCUUCUUCUUCUUCUUCUUCUUCUUCUUCACCUUCUUCACCUUCUUCACCUUCUUCACCUUCUUCUUCUUCUUCUUCUUCUUCUUCUUCUUCUUCUUCUUCUUCUUCUUCUUCUUCUUCUUCUUCUUCUCCUCCUUCUUCUCCUCUUCCUUCUUCUCAUUCUUCUUCACCUUCUUCUCCACAGGUUUGGGUGGUUUUGUGUAAUUGGACAGAAAAGUCCACAUUGCGGGCACAGGCACGUGGGAGUUUUUCUUCAGCUUAACCCAAUCACCCUGACAAUUCCUGCCGCUGAAGACAUUCCCAGAAGCACUUUUUGCCAGAGCUCCUCUGCUGAGAAUCUGUGCUCAAAUCAGGAAAGGCAUCUGCAAAAAAAAAAAAAAUCCCUAAAAAACCCUUUGUAAGCAGAAGGGAAGGAGAUUUGAAUCAUCGAGUGCUGGAAAACUUCUCUCAUCUAUUUAUUCCUGGGCCUGACAUCUCCGAGAAAAAAAUCCCCAACCACUUUCCAAGCUCCAAGAGGGGUCUGGAAAGGUUAAUCCUGGCACAAUUUUGCCAUCAGCCCUUCUGGAAGCUGUUUCCCCAUGGAAAAUGUUAUCUUGGGUAGGGCUGGGGUGUCCCUGGGUGCUGCAGGGCAGGAGGAGGAUUAGCCCCAGCCCUGUUUGUAACUCUGUUAACUUGGGAGAUAAGGAUCCUGUGAUAAUUGCUGGCAGCAGGGAAAGAGAAAUAUUCCCCAGCUCCAGCCUUGGGGAUUUCCCUAAAAAGCAUUGGGUGAAAAUGUUCCUUUGUCCUAAAAACCAUUAGGGGUAAAUUCUCUUUUCCCUAAAAAACAUUAGGGGAAAACUGCCUUUUCCUAAAAAGCACUGGGGGAAAAUGCUCCUUUCCCUAAAAAGCACUGGGGGGAAAACUCCCUUUGCCCUAAAAAGCACUGGGGGAAAACUCCCUUUCCGUAAAAAGCACUGGAGGAAAACUGCCUUUGCCCUAAAAAGCGUUGGGGGAAAAUGUUCCUUUGUCCUAAAAAACAUUAGGGGAAAAUUCCCUUUUCCCUAAAAAACAUUAGGGGAAAAUUCCCUUUUCCCUAAAAAGCACUGGGGGAAAAUGCUCCUUUCCCUAAAAAGCACUGGGGGAAAAUGCUCCUUUCCCUAAAAAACAUAAGGGGAAAACUCCCCUUUCCCUGAAAAGCAUUGGGGGGAAAUGCUCCUUUCCCUAAAAAGCAUUAAAAAGUUGGCAGAAAACCAUCAGUGAGCUUUUUUCUGGCACGACACCUUCCUGAGGCUGCAGGGACUUUUCCCACAGAGGAUUUUCAGGAGUUUUGUCCCAUCCCCUCCAUGGGUUGGGGUUUGUGUGCUGGUGGCUUCACCAAAAGGUGGCAUCUCCCCAGGUUUGUCCUGAGCAUUCUGGGGGGAAUUGGGUGAUGUUUCAAAGCCAGAACUCGAGUUAGAAAUGUCACUUAAAGCCUGAGCUCUGUGUGGUUUGAAGUUAUUUUCUUUUUAUAAAGGGUCCUUAGAGGCUUUUACUUAUUGGUAUGAAUAAUCUGCUUUUCCCUUUCCUGGGAAUCCACUUCAACAGCUCCUUGGAAAAGCCAAGUGUUGCCUUCCAGCCUCCCAAAGAAGCUGGAUAGUGUGAUUAAGGACACAGAAAUUCAGGAAAAAUAGGAAUGAACAAAACCAUAGAAAUUAUUUUCCUUACUUUUUCAAAAUCCUUUUCCCCUCUCUGCCACCUCCGCCUUCCCCAGCUCUUCCCUUUCCUCUCCUGAAGCAGUUGGUUGUGAGUGGGGUUCAACUUUCCACUGUCAAAUUAAACUUUUCUUUUAGAACUAAAAAACUUUCAGUUUAAAAAAAUACUGGGAAAACGUCUCAGUAAAAAUCAUAAAUUUUGCUUCGAGUGAAAAUUAAUGCUA